UACGGGGGGUGCGAGCGUUGUCCGGAAUCACUGGGCGUAAAGGGCGCGUAGGUGGUCUGAUAAGGGGUGUGGUGAAAGUCCGGGGCUCAACCCCGGAUCUGCCGUGCCGACUGUCAGACUCGAGGACUGUAGAGGCGAGGCGGGAAUUCCGGGUGUAGCGGUGGAAUGCGUAGAGACUCCGGAGGAAGACCGGGUGGCGAAGGCGGCCUG
rnacentral:rRNA from 1 species